GGGCCGUUAUCUCAAAGGCUAGAGCGACCAGCUCAUAACUGGUAAAAUCUCGGUUCGACUCCGAGACGGCCCA
rnacentral:tRNA from 1 species